rnacentral:lncRNA from 13 species
CCUAACUCUACCUUCUGGUUCCAGCAACUAGUCUUUCUCAUUGGAAGAGUUUGCUGUUCAUAGCUUGUGAAAGCCAACAAGAGGUGCCUGCUUUUACUUGCACCUAAACUUGCCCCUCUGUGUUCUUUCACUCUUAGGUCAAUGUCAUGUAAUUAGAAAACUCUGGCCUGGAACAACAUCCAUCUUCCCAGGCAAGUCUGUGUUCUCAUUUCUAAGGAGAGAAUUGAACUGGAUGGUCUUUAUAUGAGACUAUUUGAUGAGGCAACAGAUUCAGAUCUGCUUCCUGUCUGAAGAGUGCAAUGUGAGACAUGGUGUCACUCUGCUGCCCGUCCUGAAGUGCAGUGACAAAAUCAUAGCUCACUGCAGCCUCGAACUCCUGGGCUGAAUUGAUCCUCCCGCCUCAGUCUUCCAGGCUUAUGAUGUGCCUUCUUUGAUUUACCUCUAUACCAAGCAGCUGUGU